UUUUUUGUUUUUUUUUUUUUUUGCAGCUUGGUCGUCGUCGGCGACAGGAUCUACAGCAUGGACGAUAGGAAGGACCCCGCAGGCCCGUGCAACUUCGAGGUGCUGCGCUUUGGCUCCGCCACUUCCAGCAGCAGCAGCAGCAGCAGGAGGUGCUGGUCCUGGACCCGCUCUCCAGCUGCGACGUCGCGCCGCCCGCCACCGGCGACGAGAGCGCCGACAGGCUCGAGCGGGCGCCGCCGUCGAAGCUCACGAAGGAGAGGCUCUUCCGCGCCAAGGGCAGGCGGCACAGGGGCGGCCCGCUCGUGUAUAUGGGCGACAGCACGUUCUGCGUCGUCGAGCGCGUCACGGACGGAAAACUCACCAGGGAGCAGCGGAAGAGGCUCGAGCUCGACGGGCGGCCGCCGCGCCUGCUGCUCUACGUGCGGGUGUUCGGCCUCAAGUACGGCAAGAAAGGGCGGCUGCAGGUGGCGACGUGCGGCCGCCGGGCACGAUGCCUCGCACUGCCCGAGGGGACAAGAUGUGCCUGUUAUGACGAAAUUUUCAUGUCGAUUCGGGCGUUAUGGGCGUAAAUAGUUUGGUAGUGUCCCCCCCCCCCCCCCAAAAAAAAAAAAAAAAGGAGGAGGAACUAUAGGUUGAUCAACUUAUAUCUUAUACUUUCAGAAAAUGAAGUCAGUUGCUCCAUAUAAAUUAAGCUCCCUCAAGCUCGAUUUGUCCAUGGUAAUUGUCCAUUAUCUCAGCAAUCAACGCGGAACAUCUAGAAGAUGAAACUUCUUCAGUAAAUCUUCCAACCAGCAGUCCCUGCCUGUCGAUCGCAGUUUCACGCCACACCUGACAAGUGACGAUGGAACUCAGGCUAAAGAUAUGGUGGGUCCCAAUGCCAGUGACACAAAAGUUGUUUUAUCAGCUGGAAUAUCGUAAUCCUCUAUUGUCAGCAUUGAGAUUAGCAUUGUCGUUUGUGACUAGCAGCUUGUGAUACAACUUUCGUCAGUAGUCGUUCAGCUGCAGUAAGCGUGUAUACUCAGUACAUUUCCCAAUUCCACAACUGCCCAGCGCUCCACGUCGACCGGUUUGCCCGGUCUCGCAUCAUCGCUUCACCCCGCCGCCGGCCCAUCUCCCGGCGCCGCCGCGGGAGUCUACACCGGCCGCUUGCCCUCCCGACGGCAAACUCGCGGUAGGCUCUGCCUGCCCUCGUCGCCGGGGCUUGGUGAGCCCCCGGGGGCUGCCGCUGCCGCCACCGGCCGAUCGCCGCCGCGGCGUCCGUCAACCGUCAGUGUAUUCGGUAAGAAACGGCUGUGCUCGGCCUCAAUACGCAUCUCCUCCUCCGAUUUGGGGAUCUGGCCCGGGGCUUUCGUUCUGGGGUUGAAUUCGUCCCCUUUUUCCUAUUUUGAAUUGCCUCCGAUUUGGUUUUUGUGCGAAAUUCUAGCUUUUCAAUGCGGUACGAUCUGUGUACCUCACUUCACUUGGAUCUUGCUUCAAGUCUAAGAUUCGUCCACCAGCGCCAAAUUUUUUGAAUUGGGAGGUUUGCAUUGUUUAUGCACUUUCGUUGGUGUUCAACAGUUGCUUCUAGUUCUGCUGAUCGAUUGAUCGAUGUACGGACAAAUCUAUGACUGUAACUUGUGCCUUAAUUAGUUGGGUUAUUUCUUUUCUCUCAUUUCUGAUGCUACAUUUAUAACAAGAUAGGUUAUAAUUGGCUUUGGCCAUCAACGAUUUGGGGACACACAGUAUUAAUGUGUUGGGACAAUGGGAAUAAAAGCAAUCGGUGCACAUUUUGCUACAUUGGGAGUGAGUUCUGCUAAUGCUGAAGCCAGCAGCUACGUGUUCCCCUGAAACUACGAGAAAAUGCUACUUUCUGCUAGCUCGGCGGCUCACUGCCAAAUCAGCUAGUCACGCCCAGCUAGUUUUGGGUUUUCUGACAAAAAUGGCUUCUUUGAAGCGUUGCAGAUAUCAUGAGGGCUUCUUAGCUAUAAGGUUAUCUGUUUCUUUUUUGAGGCGGACAGCAGGGGAGGCCCCUACUGAUAUUUUCCAUUAAUAAAAAGGGAGAUAUUUACAUUUUACAAGGCCUCAGGCCCAAGAAAAAAAGAGGGAGAGAAGCUUAACGAAAAUUACAUAACCAGUUUUCCAAGUCCAUUUUCAGGGGUGGCUUGGCUCUAUGCAAGAUGAGUCCAAAUUUCUUCCUGAAAAUUGAUUUCCACCUCCCUAGGGAUAAUGGCACACCAUCAAAGAUAACUUCAUUACGAUGAGUCCAAAUAGCCUAGCAAGCCACCAUGACAAUUUCUCUAAAAAUCUUUGAAUUAAAGUCUCUCCUGGCUUCAAUGAUCAUCUCCAUAUUCAUCAGGUUUAGAUUCCAUCGGAUGUUGAGAAAGCGCUAGCACCACUGACUGAAAGAGCAUGUGAAGAAUAGGUGUACCAAAGUUUCUUCAGAAUUACUGCUGCAUAAGGCACAACUAUAGUCGUCAAGGACUCUUUGUUUCCUGCGAAGAAUAUUUCUUGUGUUCAAUCUGUCCCUUAGGAGAAGCCAAAAGAAAAAUUUAUGCCUGCCCCUACAACAUGAUUUCCACAUCCAUUUGAAUACGGGACUAAUAGGAGUUGUGCCCAUCAACUGUUUGUAUGCCUUCUUUGAACUGUAAUCAGGUGAGCCCCAUAUAUAAGACCAUUGAUCUUCCAGAGAUUGGUUCACUGAUAACCCUUGAAUGAGGAAAACAAGUUCAGCCAGUUGAUCACAAGCCACUGGGGACAUUGGUGUGAAGAAAUUUGUAUAAGCAUCCUGUGACAAGAAUUUCUUAACUGAGGCAUUCUUAUUCUGACAAAGGAGAAAAGCUGUGGGAAGACCAAAUUUAGAGCCCCCAAGUCCCAUAAAUCUGUCCAAAAGCAAACUGAGUUCCCCUUGUUAACCUUGCAAGAAGCAAUCCUUAAGAAGCUAUCUGAUAGCGUCAUCACAUCUCUCCACCAAAAAGAGCCUACUAGCCUUUUCAUGUGUGGGACAACAUCAUUUGAAUAUAAGCAGCGCCAGGUGAGGGAGACCCAUGGUAUAAUCUCAUGAUUAUAAAACUUAUGGAGGGAUUUCAUGAGGAGAGAAGUGUUCUGUGUUUUUAAAUCAAUAAUGCCCAAUUCUCCUUGCUCUUUGGAUCUGCGUGCAUCUUUCCAAGCAACUAAACAUCUACCUUUUCUGUUGAUAUCUCCUUUAUCCCAAAGGUAGUGUUUCCUAUAGCAAUCAAUCUGUUGGAUAACCCCAACAGGAAGCUUCAAGGUGCAAAGAUAAAAGGUGGGCAGAGAAGAUAGCACUGAAUUGACCAGAAUUAGUCUGCCAGCAUAAGAUAGAAGUUUGUUCAGUCCCAUCAUUCUCCUCUCAAUUCUGUUUAGUAAAGGCAUAUAUUCAUCAACUGCAGGUCUUGUAGUUCUAAGAGGCAAGCCAAGAGCCCAAGAUAGGUGAAUGGCAUCGAGCCAACUUGACAUCCUAUGGCAGCAGCAAGAGAAGAAGCCUUAUGAGGCUCAACAUUGAUUGGCACAAGAGAGGAUUUCAUGAAGUUAACUCUCAGUCCAGUGGAGACUGCAUAAGUGUCAAGAAUGCUUUUGAGGCUAAGAAGCUGUUGCUCAUCUGCUGGCAUGAUUAUCAAGGUAUCAUCUGCGUAUUGGACAAUAGGAUAAUCUCCCCCAAAACUAUCCCCUAAGGGAUGUUGUAAAAUAUGAUUGUUGGCUACAUCAUUGAUAACUGAUUGUAACAGGUCAGCUGCAAGCACAAACAGUAAAGGGGAUAAGGGAUCACCCUGUCUAACUCCACGCUUGCAUUUGAAUGGUUUCCCAGGAACCCCAUUAAGCAGCACAGAAGAAGAUCCAGAAGAGAGGACCAUUUCAAUCCAUUUAACCCACUUGGCAGAAAAACCUUUAUGCCUAAACAUGUCCAGGAACUUGAUGCUCUAUCUUGUCAAAUGCCUUUUCAAAAUCUAGUUUUAGUAUAACAAUUUCUUUCUUGCUUUGAUGGCAAAUAUGCAAGAAUUGAAAAGCCCAUGCAAGACAAUCCUGAAUAGUCCUUCCCUUGAGGAAACCGUAUUGAUUAGCAUGAAUAACUCUCAGAAUUACCACCUGUAACCUGUUUGCUAGAAGCUUUGCGAGCAGUUUCAAAGAAUAGUUCAGCAAGGAGAUUGGUCUGUAAUCAUUCACUGUGAGGGGGCAGUCUUUUUUAGGAAUAAGAGUGAUGAAGGAUCCCUUGAUACAUUCAAGAUUCACUGAACAGUUCACAAAAGCUUCACAAAAUUUGUAGAAAUCUUCUGAGAUGAUGUGCCAACACUUUUUCAUGAAGAAGCCAUUAAAACCAUCUGGACCAGGGGCAUGGUCAGGGGCCAUCUCCUUGACAGCUCUGUCAAUUUCUUCCUUGGAAAAGGGCUCAUCAAGCACAGGAAGCUGAAUAGCUUGGAUUAGGGCAUUGAGAUCAAAUUGCAUUUCACUAAACUUUGAGACCCCCAAUCUGUCUUUAAAAGAAUUCCAUAGUACACCAACUUUCAAAACAUGAUCACUGACAGUAGAACCAUCUUCUAAAAGAAGAGAAGCAAUGUAGUUUCUUCUGAACGAGUGAGUAGCCAUUGCCUGAAACAAACUUGAGUUUUCAUCACCGAACUUGACCCACCUUACUGUGGAUCUCUGCUUCCAAUACAAUCUCUUUGCUUCCAAUAGAUUCUGCAGGUGAGACUUAACAAUCUUUCUAAAAUUUGAUUCAAUGAGACUAAGCCUUCUCUUCUAACCCAUCCAAGAGAGCUAGAACCCAACUGCAGUUAUUAAUAAGCUUGUUAAGCUUAGAAAGUUCCUUGCUCCACUGUUUUAAACCAACCCUUAGCUGCUUGAAUUUACCACUGAUGGUCUUAGCCAUAUUAGCAAAAGAAAGGAUUUGAGUGCCAAUGCAACUGAACAGUGUCAAAGAAACCUGGAAAAUCUGCCCAAUAGUUUUCAAAUCUGAAUAUCGAAGCUUUUGGAAUGUGAGAGUCCAUUCUGACAACAUAAGGGAUCUGAUCUGAAAUUGGCUUUGAGCGAGGUUUGACACAGGUAGCAGGAUAGGACAGGGACCAUGAUGCUGAUGUAAAAACCCAGUCAAGCUUCUCAAGCAAAGCAUCAUCCUGCAUGCUACUCCAAGUGAAUUGCCUGCCCUCAAAAGGUAUAUCAAUUAAAUCCAGAUGUUGAAUGAGAUCAUUGAAAAGCAACAUGUCACUGAGACAACCUCCAGGCUUGUUUCUAUCUGUUGGAGAUUGAAUAAAGUUGAAAUCCCCAACUAAAAUCCAGUCAUCAAAAGAGGAGGCGUCAAAAUUUUAAAGCCAGUUAACAAACGCAGCUUUCUCAGCAGGUGCAGAGGGUCCAUACACAUUAGAGACAUGAAACACUGCAUCAGAGGCAUUCGAACUGAAUUUCAUGGCGAUGGCAUAAUUAUUUUCAUGGCUCACAUCCCCUCGAAACAGAGCACUAUUCCAAACAAUAAGCAUACCACCUGAAGCACCAAUGGAAGGAACAAAAGCAAACUUGUUCAAAUGCCUAGGACAGAAUUUGGAAAUAUAAGAUUGAUCAAAUGAUUAUCUUUUUGUCUCUUGCAAACACACAAUAGCAGCACCACUUCCCGAGAUUUUGUUUCUAAUAUGGUCCCAUUUCUCUUGGGAAUUAAUACCACGAAUAUUCCAGGACAAAAUACUCCAAGUUUUGUUAUGAUUUAUAGAUAAAACAGAGGGGGAAUCCAUCCAGGGAGAGUCUAAGCACACACAAAGACUCAUAAGAUAAGCAUGGGACAUGGAAAACAAGAGAUAAGAGACUCCAGCAAGGUAGCGUAACCAGUUUAGAGAGUUUACAUCCAACUUCCAUCAAAAGAAAGAGUUUCGAGCAGAAUAACCAAAAGAUGUGCCAAACUAAGACCAUUACCCAUAAACAGAAGCAGGGGCAAUGCCAUCUUACCAUCAUGGAUAAGAUCCGACUUACCAUCUUUUAUUCAACAGGUACAAGUGCUUCAGCAGUGCCAAUACCAUCCUGUCAACAAGUUUGCUUGUCACGAAAGGAUAACACACAUCAUGGCAAAGCCUGGCAUUUUAGGACGUAGGUAUGUUCAAUGCUUAGUGUCUAUGCAUUGCACUACUGUAUGUAACAAAUAACGAGUUCUUUUUUCCAUGGCCAUUUGCACACAUCAUAAUGUACUGUCAAUCCUUACAGCAGCAGUGUGCCAAGAUCAAAUGAGAGCAUGCGAAUAAUAUUCUCAGCAGUUGUCGGUGUUAUGCUAGGGUACUUGUUUGGCAUUUCCUUCCCUACAGUUAAUAUAACAAAGGUAAAAAAGGAUCAUCUGCUUCUCUCGUCUUCUAAUGCCACAUGCCCUGUUUAUAGAAAAUCUUGACCUGCUACAUUUUGUAGCUUCACUUUCCUUCCAGCAUUAUAUCCUAUAUUGAAGAUAGAAACUCUGGCAUUACAACCCAAACAUUAUUGAACCAUGCAUGGACGUCUGCAGCUAGUCACAAGAACAAUUCGGUUUCUAACCCAGAUGAAAUUCCGAAGGUACUUUGCCAGUCUUGUACUUUCCUAUGGUUGUUAUGUGCUCAUGCAGUUUGGUGACUAAUCACAUGCUUGUUAUUGUACUAUGCAUACUCUGUGGUCAAUUUUACUAGUGUUUUAUUUCCAUGCAUGAUGUGUAAGUUUCAAGUUCAUGAACACUUUUAGUCUAGGAAAUUCUGCCUACAUUAGCUUUCAUCUGUUAGCAUAUAACACAAUGAACUGAAUAGAUGGUGUCUCAUCAAACAUAUCAGCUGCCUUUUGUUUUAUCCCUUUUUCCCUCUGGUUAAUCUUGCAAAAUUAUUUUCUCAGAUUUAUGUUCCAACAAACCCUAAAGGUGCUGAAAGGCUCCCACCAGGCAUUGUUGCGUCUGAAACAGACCUUUAUCUCCGAAGAUUGUGGGGUGAACCUAGUGAGGUUGGUUAUUGUUUUUGUCACUUCUCAGUACAUUUAACAAAUGACGUUUUUAAAAGUUUUAAAUCUUCCUUUUGUGAGCAUCAUCUAAAAUACAUGAUCUAUACCAUCAGGAUCUUACUAGCCAACCAAGGUACCUUGUGACAUUUACAGUUGGAUACUCUCAGAAGGCAAAUAUUGAUGCUGCGGUAAAAAAGGUAAUUUCUUAGACAUCUAGCAAUGCUUCACCUUAGCGAAUAGAUAGUCUAUAACUGAUAUCAUACAAUUGAUUCAUGCAUCCUCAUGAACUAUUCACUGUCUUCAUAAGGGUAUUCUUAUUUAAAAUAAUAUUUUAUGUCUGCUUUAUCAGUUUUCAGAGAACUUCACAAUUAUGUUGUUCCACUAUGAUGGUCGGACUACAGAAUGGAAUGAAUUUGAGUGGUCAAAAAGAGCUAUCCAUGUGAGUGUCAGAAAGCAGACUAAAUGGUAAGUUACUUAUUUAUGUCUUUGCAACACUGUUAGUCUUUUACGUAUUUGACUGUUGAAGGUUAAAAACUUGUUUCCGCAAGGUGGUAUGCCAAACGGUUUUUGCAUCCUGAUGUUGUGGCUCGUUAUGACUACAUAUUUAUCUGGGAUGAAGAUCUAGGCGUUGAACAUUUUAAUGCAGAGGCGUAAGCAUCAGUCCCUUGUUAUUUCUGUUUUUCUGUGUCCCCUUGAGGAAGAUGGUCUCAAAGCUUUUUGUUUCAGGUACAUUAAGCUUGUUAGGAAGCAUGGUCUGGAGAUCUCUCAGCCUGGUUUGGAACCUGACAAAGGUCUAACGUGGCAAAUGACUAAGCGCAGAGGUGAUCAGGAAGUCCACAAGUGAGCUACUGGAUCUGUAUUGCUUUACCAAUGCUUAGUAGCCACACAGGCGCACACACCUAUAUCCAUUUCUGUAGUAAUAUUUUGCUUUUUGCAGAGUAACUGAGGAGAGGCCGGGCUGGUGUACAGAUCCCCAUCUGCCACCAUGUGCAGCGUAGGGGGUGCAAUAAUUUGUUGUUUGAUAAUUUCCAUCUGUCAAAAUCUGUUUUCACAUCUAAUUUGAUAUGCAGAUUCGUUGAAAUUAUGGCAACUGUGUUCUCAAGGGAUGCAUGGCGCUGUGUAUGGCAUAUGAUUCAGGUGGAGUGUCAAUACUCAUCUCUUAGCUUCAUUCGAAGUCAGUAUGCUUACACAUAGUUAUCUGCAGAAUGACUUGGUCCAUGGAUGGGGUCUCGAUUUUGCUCUUAGGAAAUGUGUGGAGGUACAUUCAUUAUCCAUUAUCUAUUAACCAUAUUACUCUCUGAAGUAAAUUAUACAUGAGUAUUAUCCUGCAUAGUUGUAGGAUAGAUCACAUAACUGGUCGCAUAGAAUGAAUCUUUAAUUUAGUUCUUUCAGGUUUAGGGGUUGGCCAGGUACAGAGUAAGACUAUGGUGGUUGGGGAUGGUGAGGAAAGGGUUGGGCGUUAAAUCAGGCAGUGGAGAUGAGAAGAUGGGAUGAGAUGUAGUUAGAGAAAAUAGAUAAACAGAAGCUGGGUUUCAAUUUCCGAUGUGGUGGACUGGUGGGGCUCUGUUUCAUGAAUCUUGGGCAUGUAGAGAUAUAAAAUUUCAUUGCCCCAUUCCUGGUCUAGUGCAUAUAUAUCAAGCAGCCUAUCAACGAUCAGUCAUUUUUUAGUGAUCCAGGAUUCUUUUAUUUGGUCUUAUGUUAAACAGCCAGCCCAUGAAAAAAUUGGAGUUGUUGAUUCCCAGUGGAUUGUUCAUCAAGUUAUACCAUCACUUGGUAACCAGGUAUGCCAGACUAAUGGUUUCACGUCAUUUGUACAUGGCACAAAGAUACUGUGAUUUCUGAUCCUUUAGCAUCUAUUCCUAUCAGGGCAAGGCAGAGAAUGGAAAAGCGCCGUGGGAAGGGGUAAGCUAUCAAACAAUCACCGGUUGCACAUAUUUUUGCACUUUUCAUACUAUUACUUUCUGACAUGAAUAUGUAAGAAUUUUAUCUUGCUGUUCUCUGUCGCGGUGCCACAGGUAAGAGCACGCUGUCGAAAAGAAUGGGGAAUAUUUCAAACAAGGUUGGCAGAUGCUGAGAAAGCUUAUUACUUGGACCACGGGAUCACACCCCCAAAUUUGACAGGAGCGUAGCUGAGCGCGCCUCAGGAGUAAUGACAAGGUUUCUGUUCUGGGAACCUGGCACCUGCAUCUCCGGUAUGCACAUCCAAGCUCAGCUCCAUGGAGAUGCAAUUCCAUGGCCAGAUUUGUACAGGCAGCCUCAAAUCCUCUUCCCUUUGCUCUUACUUAUUCUUAGCCCUGUUCUCUUGGUUUCAGUCGUAGUGAAACUAGCUCGUAUGUAAGUAACCGAUUUAGCACGGAUCUUGAAUUCUUUAUGUCCAUACUAGUGCUCCUUUCCCCCAUUGUUGACCUGGUGCACGUUGGCAAGUUUUUUCCCUCCCUCGUUUUAAAAGGUAAAUUACUUGCCUUGGAACAGCUCUUGUGCCAUACGGCCACGCCAUCAGUAUCUUUCCAUGUUCUAGCCGCAGAUGGAAAUGGUAAACUGCGAGGUGAAGAAGGAUACUUAGAUUAUUUUCAGAAGCAUUUUGGAAUAUCACUCAUACCAUACACAACAUGAUCAUGAGUUUCAUGAGCAGACAUUAUCAUCGAAAGAUGGCAGAAAAUACAUCUUAUUUUCAGAUACUUAGAUUAUUUAGCUGCACUGCAUCACCGGCCAGCAUCCACCAGGUUACCGGGAUACGCCUGUCUGUAUGACAUGGCAUACGAGUAUACGUACGUGCGUGCACGUAGGCGAACGGGGUUGGAGCGUAUGCCUACGCGCCGUAGCCGAGGAGGUGGCUGUUGUUGAGCGGGGGGCACGUGUCGUAGCCGUAGCCGCCGCCGCCGGUGUACUCCUGGGUGGUGCUCUGGUACGACUGGUAGCGGCGGCCGCCGGCGAGCUCCUCGUGUUUCUCGUAGGACUCGUAGCGGCGCACGCCGCCGCCGCCGAGGUUGCCGGCUCCGUGCUUGUCGUACUUGUACGCCCCGUAGCCGUGCAGGCCACCCUGCUUGCUGGCCCCGUGCGUCUCGUGCUUGUACGCCCCGUAGCCGUGCUCCUCGCAGUCGCUCUCGCUCUCACUCCCGCUGUCGUACGCCUUGAGGUUGUAGUUGUAGCCGCCGGCGAAGUCCGUCCUGCCCGCCUUCCCGUGCGCCCCGUAGCCGUACGCGCCGCCGUGCUGGAGACCUCCGGCGGCAUUGCCGCCGUACACGUCCUGCUUGUACCCGUACUUCUGGACGGCGCCGCCGCCGUAGUGAGAGCCGUACCCGGCGUCGCAGUCGCCGUACGACUCGUGCUGGUAGUUGCUUUUCUUCACGGCUCCGCCGCCGUAGGCAUCCUUGUGCUUCUGGUUGUAGCCGUGCUGCUCCACGCCGCCGCCGCCGUAGUGAUGAGCACCGUAGCCAGCGCCGUUUUCUCCGUAGGACUCCUGCUUGUAUCCUUGCUGCUUCUUCACGCCGGCGCCGCCGCCGUAGUAGGCGCCGUACCCUCCGUCGGCUUCGCCGUACUUCUCAUGCUGCUUGUAGGCGGCGUUCGUCUGCACUCCGGCGCCACCACCGUAGUGAGAGCCGCCAUACCCUGCGCCGCAGUCGCCGUACGACUCGUGCUGCUGGUAGCUGUCUUUCUUCACGGCUCCGCCGUACGCGUCCUUCUGGUAGCCGUGCUGCUGCACGCCGUACGCCGCCUGCUGGUCGUAGGCGUACGUCUGCACGGCGCCGGCAGCACCGCCGUAGUGAGCACCACCAUGGCCCGCGUUGGUUUGCCCGCAGGCCUCCUGCUCGUAGCCUUGCUUCUUUACGCCGUAGUGGGAACCGUACCCACCGUCGGCCUCGCCGUACUUCUCCUGCUUGUAGCCGUGGUUCUUCACGCCGGCUGCGGCACCCUCGCACGUCGUAUACGCCUGCACGGCGCCGCCACCAUGGUAGCCGCCGUACGACCCUUGGUCCUGCUCCACGAACACCUCCUCCUCCUUGUAGGCCGCCUGCUUCUGCACGCCGCCGGCGCCGGCGCCACCGCAGCCGGGCUUGUCGUUGACGCUCAUGCGGUUGAUCUCCGUGACGAGGGUGGUCACGGACUCGGUGCUUUGGCGGUGGUAGUUCAUCUGGGGCUUGCUGUUGCCGUAGCCGUAGCCGUAGGCGCCAUAGCCGUAGCCGUAGCCGGCAUUGCCACACUUCACAGUCGCAUCCAUGCUGAUGAGCUAGUUCCCUUUUGCUCUGUGUUGGUGUAUCUGAUCGAUCUGCCUGGGGAAAUCUGGCGUUUUAUAGGCGCCGCGGCGAGAGUGAGAGCAUCUGUGCCCGAUCGACCACUUGCUCCUCUGGAUGGUAAGGUGGCUGCAGGCCGGCGGCAAUGGAUAUGUGCUCGUCGAUCCGUAGCUAGCUUUAUAUCCAGGCAGGCAUCUUGAAAUGCUCGGCCGAUUAGAGCUAUGUGUAUCUCCGGCUUUUAUAAUCUAGGCAUCUUAUAAUGUGACGAAGCAUCACGCAUCUACUGCGAUCAUUGAAGUGCGAAAAAGCGAAAAAAAUAUGCAAAAAUAUCCUAUUCGCGAGCCAUAUUUGAUGGACUCCUUUUACCUGCCUAGCAGGAAUGCUUAUCAUCAUGCCUUUACGCGAUGUGCAUCAGUGAUUCUGUGGACUGUUCGACGAGCGUCACGCGAUGCUCAUCUGAUUCUAUACGACGGUUGCAGACUUGCAGUUGGUAUUGCACACCCACCGUCACCCCGGCCCCGGCAUCGCCCAACCGGUACUAUCAUAUCCUCUACGAUCGCCUUGACGCCGCCGCUCUGCCUGGCACCACGGUCAAAUGAGGCCUACCUCUAAGCCCACUGAAUUUUUCAUGAAAACCCCACCCCCAAACGACCACCUUCACACCAACCAUGUCGGAGUCGGACCUCACCGGAGCUGAGGGGGACGAAUGGAGAUUCAAUCACAGUGCAAAACAGAUGUCAAGAGCAUGAAUUGGACGCUUAUGGAACGACCAUGAAUUUUAGUGUUGGCGAGCGCCAAAACACUACUAGAAUUUUACGCGUCACGAGCAUCGCAACCUAGGAAAGAGCGUACUACACGUUUUCGCUCGUUCGCUUGUUUUUUUUUGAGGGUCGUUCGCUUGGUAUUUGAUUGUCGCGCACAAUCAGGCCCAAUCCACCACUUGUCUGGUCGGCGCUUCGUUGUCAGCAGCGGGCCGGCCUGAUUGAUAUGGGCCUAAUCGGCAUUUAUCAAAAAAAGUUUUUGAGAAUACAAGCCACAAAAUAGUACAUGUAUCAUGUACUCCGUAUGUGUGAUAGCGGUGACGCGUUAGCGAUCGAGCUGACGCAGCGCAGUCCAUGCAUGGUGCGUGGCCGCCCGUUGCAGCCGUUAACGAGUUCACGUCUUGCCAUUGCCCAAAUCCAAGCUGCAGAGAGAAAACGUGCAGAGGAGGAAGAAGAAUGAGCGCCGAAGCACCUAGCUGGGAGAACAGGGGAAGAGCGAACCAGAAUUGUUUAGAGCCUAUUAGCACGUUUCUUUUUCUAACUGAAGUCACAGCAAACAAACCACACGUGCAUUUACUAUACGGGUGGACGCCAUCGACCGGGAGAGUACAAUUUAUUUACGUAUAUACGAUUAUAUUAGCUAGGUUGUCACCAUCAACUUACGGCCUGUUCGCUUCAGCUUAUAAGCCAGCUGAAAAGCUGAAACGACUGAUUUGUUGUGAGAGAAAAACACUGUUAGGUGGCUGAUAAGCCGGCUCAAUAAGCUGAAGCGAACAACCACGUACGUUACGCCCGUAGCAGUCACGUCAGGGCACCCGCCUAGCGCUUUGGCGGCGGGUAAUGAUGUCCGUCGGAGUUGCGGCGGGUAAUGAUGUCCGUCGGAGUUGCGGCGGUCGAAGUCCCCGUCGCCGCCCCCAGCUCUGCGGUGGUGCUUCGCGGCGCCGGCGCCACCGUAUCCGUUGCAGGGACCCCUCAACAUGGCUUCUCGAUCGAGCGAAUUGGUUUCGGACUGGUUGGUGGGUCGAUCGGUAAGGUACGGCUCGGUCGCCACAUGGAUUGGCUUUUAUAGGCGCGCUAGCGCCUCCUCGCUGCCGGUGAUUCUCUCUCAUGGAUGGUUGAUGCAUCGUACGACAGCGGUGCUCUCCGGCCGAACUGGCCUAUGCAGAGCGUUUUACCUUUACCCGUCAAGUCCACUCCACUAGUUAAGGUGAGUGAUAGGUUUCUGCAAGCAUUAUGUUCCGCUGUCAUGCAUAUUCGACUAGUGUAAACGAUGAUAAAGCAGCAAAGAUCAUAUUCGCAAGCCAUAUUUUUUUCACGCUCUGAUCGUUGAAAGUGAGGAAUGUUAGGUACAAUAAAUAUUCUCAAGGCAGAUUGGUCGAAAAAAAUAUUCUCAAGGCAACAUUUGCCCAUGUGUGCAAACAUUAUUUUUUUUUUAAAAAGACUAGUAUUACUAAUUGGAAAUAGCCUCCACGUAUCAAAUAUAAAUUAUGUGGUGGAGCACGCCUAGUAAUAACAGUAAAAAUAAAAACGAAAUAUUAUUGUACCAUAACAAAUAUAGAAGUGUGAGGAAAAAAAGAAAUGUCUAAUUUAAUGGAGGAAUAUAGAACGGAAACAAUCGCUUAUAAAAUGUAACUAUAUGCAUUUUUAGAAAGUGAUACGUUAUUCCUUCCGUAUUAAAUUAUGAGUCAUUUUAGUUUUGUCAGAAGUCAAACUUCUAUAUCUUUAACCAAACUGCAGGUUGGGUUUAACCAAACUGCAGGUUGGGCUGAAGCUUUCAGCAUUCAGAGCAAGUCAGAUAACCCAAAUUCCUCCAGAAUCACUGACUCGCAUAACAGACAACUCCAGAAGCAGGUAGUGGUGCUCUGCUCUGAUAAUCAGCAUUUGCUUUUCUUUUUUUCAAGAAUACGUAGGACAGCUGCGUAUCUUAAUAUUAUUAAGAAGAAGAAAGAUAAUCAACAUUUGCAAUACUGAACAUUUGCUACAACGAAUUGAACAUUUGCAGUUGCAAAGACUGAAACACACCAGCUUUAACUGUCAUAGUUCACCAUCUCGCAAGACCUGUUUCCACUACCUAUCACUAACCAAAACUCCACUUCCUUAGUUCCUUAUGCAUAUUCCACUGCGUUACCAGCAACAAGAGUUCGAAUAACAUACUGGUGUGAUACUAGACUACCACCUACACACAUACAUCUUCAGAUCACAGAUGGACAUUACAUCUGAAGGAACACAUGCUGACCACUGCCACUGCAGGACCCUUCCCACUUUUGGUCGAGUGCCCAUUUCUCACCCUCCAACAAGAUUCGCCACUUCUUCACAAAGGUUUGCUGGGAACCUUGUUUCCACGGACAUCUUGUUGCAAAUUCUCUAUAGAGCCCAGCCCACCCUGCACAAAGAAGCAAACAUGUUUCAAGUAGAUCUGCGCAGUUUUGGAUCCUGUUUUGAAAGAUCCGUCAUAAAAAAUAUCUUCAUUUUCGAAAGGAUUUUAUAACUCCAUAGCUUUGUGUCACCCAUGCUAGUCAUUCCUCUGCAAGUCUAGAACUGAUGAGAUAGAGAUCGGUAGUGUAUGUCUUACAUUUGGCAAUAAAUUUCAUGCUCUCCAUUAGUCAGGCACACAUGACUUUGUGUUUUUCCAUCAGAUCCUCCCACACAAGAGUUGCUGCUAAUUUCUAGGCAUUUUCUGGGCAAUGAAUGCGUCCAAGUAGCCAAUGAUCUUAUGAUAGAACUUGGAAAUGUUAUGUUAGUGCAAACAAUUGAUAUGAUCAGUUUCAAACAAAACAGUGUGGAAGCAAAAGAAAUGAAUGCAUAAAUUUCUGUCAGAACACAUGUCCACAAGUAAACCAAAUUAAGAUGUUGGAUGGACGCCGCACGCCGCCGCCACCAACACCCACCGCCACCGGGCUUCGCCGGCACGAAGCAUCCGGAUCGGGGGCGCCAUCUCAGUGCGGCACGGCGCACAGAUCAAAGCAGCACGGCGGAGGAUCGGCGAGGCGUAAGCGUACCUGGUUGAGGCGAAUACGCGCGCUUUAGGUCCUUGGAGCGAGGGAGGGGAUGGGUUGGAGCGAAGAGCUCGUGCUAGGGCUUGAGGAUGUGGAAGGGAUGGAUGGCUCGAGCCUUGCGCUUGCAGUGACCGACGGCGCUGGAUCGCGGAGAGGAGAGGAGGGUGAGCCUGCCCAUACGACGACGACGGAGUGCUUACGUAGGUUUUUUUUGCAAAAAAUCGGAUCGCGAUCCAAAUUAGAGACUUUAAAAAAUCCUCCUAAUUUGGAUCGUGAUUAUUGAUUAAUUGCGAUCCAAAUUAGGGGUGCCAUUGAAAAAUACUUGGUCCGAUAUUUUUAGAAAAUCCCUAUUCUCCAGGUCGGCGAGACGUCGGCCGACGAGGCCGUGCUGCCACCGCCGGAUCCAUCCGCCAACAGAGCGCACUAAAGACGCGGCUCCGGCGCCGGCUCCCUCGGGCCUCAGGCGCCACACCCGCGCCGCUAGUUCCGGCUCCACGCCACUGCCUUUCAACUUGAGCCUGCUGCCUGAUUGCUCACCUUCUCCUGCACGCCACCAUGGAGACGACGAGGAGGUAGAAGAAGAGUAGAAGACACAGCCGGUGGAAAGAGAAGAAGAAGAAGGCCUUGAUUGAUGUCGACGUUCGGCUCUGCCCUCCAACGCCGUUAGGCAGAGGCGCCGCCGCCGCCCGGCGACGAGACGGACGCCACGGACACGUACAUCGUCAGCAUGGCCAGUACAAGCCCGGCCGGGGGCCGGCGUCCUCGUCCUCAGCGCCGCUACGUGCUCCACCUCCACACCACCCGCAGUCCCGCACCCCCGAGUACCUCGGCCUCGACAGGGUCAACGGCCUCCUUCCUCGCGCAUACCAGCGGAGGCAGCGACGUCGUCAUCGGCUCAUCGGCCUCGUCGACACCGGGUGUGGCCCGAGAACCGGAGCUUCGAUGACGCCGGGUAGGGCCGGGGGCCCCGUGGCGGGCCAAGGAAGGGUCCAACUUCACCGCGUCGGCGUGCCACAAGUCCACAACAAGCUAGCUCAUCGGCGCGCGGUCCUUCACGGCGUCGUACCAGUCGUUGCGAACAAGGGCGCCGGGCCAGACUGGACCAAGGGAAAGGGGAAGCGGUCGCCGCGGGACGUUCUCAGGCACGGGACGCGCACGGCCAGCACUGCGGCGGGAGACGCGGUGCGGGCGCCGGCCAGGGGCAUGGCGCCGGCGUACAAGGCGUGCUGGGCCGGCGGGUGCUACAGCGCCGACAUCCUGGCGGCUUUGGAGGCCGCGGUGGCGGACGGCGUCGACGUGCUCUCCGUCUCCGCCGGCGUCGCGGCGGGCGGAGACCUCGCGGCCUGCUUCAAGGACGCGUCUGUUAACAAUAGACAUCUCUUCCUAUUCAUAGAAGGAGUCCUGAUUCUCCUGGAGCUGUGUCUCUGUGAUUUCCGUAGGGGUUGUUAAACUCGGAUGUAAUCUCCUCAAUGUAUCCUGCCUAUAUAUAUGAGAGAAUACGACCCUAGCAGGUCAUGCAAUGCCAAUUACAUUGACAUGGUAACAGAGCCACGAAAUUUUUUCUGAAGAUGUCGUUUACUUCAUCUUCUUCCUCCUCCACCACCUCCGGCACCAUAUCCAGCUCCUUCUCAUCUACAACCUUUGCUCCUAUUCCUCUCCACCAUGCGGUCACUAUCCGCCUAACCAAAACCAAUUAUUCCCUAUGGCGUGCCCAGCUUCUUCCGUAUCUACAGAGUACAAAGCUCAUGGGCCUUAUCGAUGGAACGCUCGCCGCACCGCCACAGCUUAUCCCAUCGUCGACUUCUGCGGGCGCCGAGCUAGUAUCAAAUCCGGCGUAUGACCGGUGGUACGAUCUAGACCAACAGGUCCUCAGCAGCCUCCUCUCGUCGAUGACUGAGGAAGUUCUCGAAGAUGUGGCUUCCGCCCUGUCUGCAAAGGAGGCAUGGGACAUUCUACAACGCAUGUUCUCCUCCACCACGCGAGCUCGCUCAGUUCAGAUCCGGGUCGAUCUCGCCACCGCCAAGAAACGAGAUCUUUUUGCUGCUGACUACUUCCGCAAAAUCAAGGGCCUUGCCUCUGAGUUAGCUGCAGCUGGUGCCCCCCUGCGCCCUGACGAAAUUAUUGCAUAUCUCCUAGCUGGUCUUGGUCCGGAUUAUGAUCCGUUUGUUACGUCUAUGACCACCAAAUCUGAGCCACUUACUAUUGAUGAUGUUUACUCCUAUCUCUUGGCGUAUGAGGCGCGUCAACUCCAUCAUCAGGCUGAGAUGCGUCUCAAUGUUGGCUCCUCGGCAAAUUUCGCUGGACGCGGUGGCCCGUCCUCGUACCGUGGUCGUGGCGGUCCGCAUACAGGCAGGAGUCCUGGCCGUGGUGGUGCCCAUCCCGGCCGUCUGCGAAGUCCUACUCAACCACCUGCUGGUAAUCGCUCUGCUCGCCCUUCGUGCCAAAUCUGUGGUCGUAAGGGUCAUACGGCCGUCAAGUGUCGGCUCGCAUGGAUGAAUCAUAUCAGGAGGAACAACCAUAUGCUGCCGUCGCCACUGCCUCCUACAAAGUUGAUCCAAAUUGGUACACUGAUACAGGAGCUACGGAUCACAUCACUAGUGAUUUAGAUCGUCUUGCACUUCGUGAACAAUAUCAUGGUGGGGAAACAGUCCAAGUAGGCAACGGAGCAGGUUUGCACAUUAUGCAUUUCGGUUCUUGUUCUAUUAAUACUGCUACUCGCCCUCUUGCUCUAAAUAAUGUUCUUCAUGUACCUGAAAUAUCAAAACACCUUUUGUCAGUUCAUAAACUUUCUCGUGACAAUAACAUAUUCUUUGAAUUUCAUCCUUCCUAUUUUCUUAUCAAGGAUCGAGCAACGAAACAACUCCUCCUGGAAGGAAGAUGUGAGUCAGGUCUUUAUCCCAUUAAGCCCUCCGAUGUUGAGUCCUUCAAACAGGCCCUAGUCAGUGUCACGGCGUUCCCAAAUCAGUGGCAUGCUCGGUUUGGCCAUCCUUCUAUCCAAGUUGUCAGGUCGAUUUUGAGUCUUCAUAGUUUGCCGUAUGUUAAGGAGUCUUCUUCCUCAGUUUGUAAUGCUUGUCAAUUGGCCAAGAGUCACCAACUCCCUUAUAAUAAUGCCAUUCAUCGCUCUACUUCACCUCUCGAACUUGUCUUUUCCGAUGUUUGGGGCCCUGCUCCAACAUCUGUUGGUGGUUACAAAUAUUACAUCAGCUUUAUUGAUGACUUUAGCAAGUUUACUUGGAUAUAUUUAAUGCACGAUCGAACUGAGGUACAACGCAUUUUCUUGCAAUUUCAGACUCAUGCCGAACGCCUCCUUGACACAAAGAUUAAGUUUGUUCAAUCUGAUUGGGGUGGGGAGUACCAGAAACUUCAUACUCAAUUUUUCCGUACUCUUGGGAUUGCUCAUCAUGUUUCUUGCCCUCACACCCAUCAACAAAACGGCUCGGCCGAACGAAAGCAUCGCCAUAUAGUUGAAACUGGGCUUGCACUCUUAGCUCAUGCAUCUAUGCCACUCAAAUUUUGGGACGAAGCCUUCCUCACAGCUACUUAUCUCAUUAAUAGGCUCCCUACUCGAGUCAUUGAUAAUUUGUGCCCUCUAGAACGCCUUCUAAAAGCUCCACCCAAUUACACCAUGCUUCGCAUUUUUGGGUGUGCUUGCUGGCCGCAUCUUAGACCCUACAACAAACAUAAACUAGCCUUUCGAUCCAAAGCUUGUGUCUUUCUAGGCUAUAGUGCUCUUCAUAAGGGAUAUAAAUGCCUUGACAUGGACUCUGGUCGCGUCUACAUUUCUCGCGACGUUAUAUUUGAUGAAUCAAUUUUUCCUUUCUCCAACAUUGCGCCCUCCCACCAAACCUCAUCUGUUAAUCCGGCUAGUGGCAGUGUUAAUUUGAACAUUAACCCAAUGUACACUUUGCUUCCUGGUAAUUCUAUGGUUGCAGCAGUAGCAGAUCCUACGCCCCUGGCACCUGAAUCUUCACCAGGAUCGGCUCCUGUUCUUGAUGCUCCUGCACAGACAGUGGCUGCAGCAGGGUCUCCAUCUGCCAGCACACAUGGUGCGUUGUCACCAACGGCUGCGUCGUCGCUAUCUCCUGCACCGCCUUCUCCCUCGACAACAGUGCCUCUACCAGCCUCGCCUGGGCAACCUGAGACGACAACUCCACAAGGCGCACCACAUGUUCCUGCCCAUCAGUAUGGAACCCGAUUGCAGAACCAUAUUCGACGUCCAAAAAUUCGUACUGAUGGGACGGUUACAUACUCUGUUGUGCGGACAUCCGAUGAUGAACCUGUUUCUCACAUCACUGCCAUGAAACAUCCCCUUUGGCGAUCCGCGAUGAAUGAUGAAUUUCAAGCGCUUGUCAAGAACAAGACGUGGCACCUUGUCCCUCCACAUGCCGGCCUCAAUGUUAUCAACUGCAAGUGGAUUUUUAAACUUAAACGUAAAGCGGAUGGUUCUAUUGAUCGAUACAAAGCACGGUUGGUUGCCAAGGGUUUCAAGCAACAAUAUGGUAUUGAUUAUGAUGAUACCUUCAGUCCUGUGGUCAAACCUACGACCAUCCGAGUGUUGCUAUCUCUUGCAGUGUCUCAUGGCUGGUCGCUCAGGCAAAUUGACAUCCAAAAUGCAUUUUUGCAUGGCUACCUUCACGAGGAUGUCUAUAUGAAACAACCACUUGGAUUUGAGGAUUCAACUCAUCCUAACUAUAUUUGCAAAUUGGACAAAUCUCUCUAUGGUCUCAAACAGGCUCCACGUGCCUGGUUUUCUCGUCUCAGUAGCACCCUUUUGCAAUUGGGGUUUCAUGCUUCAAAGGCUGAUGUUUCUCUCUUCAUCUUCAACAGAGGUGGCAUUCAGAUGUAUAUUCUCAUCUACGUUGAUGAUAUUAUCAUUGUAAGCUCCUCAACAGUGGCUACAGAUCGCCUAUUGACUCAACUUCAAGCUGACUUUGCGGUAAAAGAUCUUGGCAGUCUUGGUUAUUUUCUUGGCAUUGAGGUACAUCGUACUUCUCCUGGCCUUAUCUUGACACAACGUAAAUAUAUACAAGAUCUCCUGAAGCGCACGAACAUGGUCUUCUCGAAUGGUGUUCCAACACCGAUGCUUCCGAGUGAUAAAUUGUUGCUCAAAAUUGGUGAUCCUCUCUCAGCUGAAGACACAACACGGUAUCGCAGCGUUGUUGGGGCUCUCCAAUACUUGUCAUUGACUCGACCAGACAUUUCAUUUUGUGUCAACCGUGUGUGCCAAUUUCUUUCUGCACCCACAACUGCUCAUUGGGCUGCCGUCAAAUGCAUUCUACGUUACCUUCAUGCUACCAUUGACCUUGGAUUGUGCAUCACUAAAUCCGGCUCAUCAUUACUAAAUGCGUUCUCGGAUGCUGAUUGGGCCGGCAAUCUGGAUGACCGGCGCAGUACAGGUGGUUAUGCCAUUUUUCUUGGCCCAAAUCUCGUAUCAUAGAGCUCUCGCAAACAACCGACUGUCUCUCGCUCGAGCACUAAGGCAGAGUAUAAAGCUGUUGCCAAUGCCACUGCUGAACUCAUAUAGGUCGAAGUACUGUUGCGCGAGCUUGGGAUUUCACAACCUCGGCCUCCUAGUCUCUGGUGUGACAAUAUUGGUGCCACCUACCUGUCGGCUAAUCCCAUAUUCCAUCGCCAGACUAAACAUGUGGAAGUUGACUAUCACUUUGUUCGCGAACGUGUUGCCUCCCGUCAACUUGAAGUGCGCUUUAUCAGCUCCAAAGAUCAGAUAGCUGACAUCAUGACAAAGCCGUUGCCUUCAACUGCGUUUACUCAAAUACGUCACAAUCUGAACUUAGUGUCACACCGUCCAGAUUGAGGGGGGGUGUUAACGAUAGACAUCUCUUCCUAUUCAUAGAAGGAGUCCUGAUUCUCCUGGAGCUGUGUCUCUGUGAUUUCCGUAGGGGUUGUUAAACUCGGAUGUAAUCUCCUCAAUGUAUCCUGCCUAUAUAUACGAGAGAAUACGACCCUAGCAGGUCAGGCAAUGCCAAUUACAUUGACAGCGUCUUGGCUCACCGUCGACCGCGAGUUCCACGGGCAAGGGUGGGCUCUGCUUAGCCGAUGUCAAACAUUAUAUAAGCGGCUGCACGGUGGGCACCAUCGCUGAUUCCAAAUUUAAUUUGAAGGAGACAAGCAAUCACGAGGCAAAUCAAACAAGCAAGCACAAAUUUUUAUACGGUGGAUGCAGAGCACCGAUCAACUGUGGGGGUACAAUUUAUUUACGUACGAUUAGCCCGGCAUCACCAGAUUAUUAUUUAAGCUGCAGUGCUGUGUACCCCAUGCAUCAACGUGGUGUCUACCAAUACGGAGUCUCGCAUCCAGGUGCAUGAGAGCCGGCGCAAUGGCUGCUAGCUCAUGCGCAGCGUUGGCCGCGCUUGAGCUGGGCGUAGCCGCCGCCGCCCACGACCUCCUCUUCGUCCUCGUAGCAGACUAGCAGGUCUCCUUGUAGCUCUCGUACUCGUAGCGGCGCCCGCCGCCGGCGUGUCCGUUCCCGUGGCGGCGGCCGGCGCUGUAGGUCUCCUCCUCGCACGACUCCUCGUAGGUAUCCUCCUCGCACGACUCCUCGUAGGUCUCCUGGUAAGUCUCGUAGCGGUGGGAGCCGCCGCCGUUGUGGUGGCGGUGCGCCUGCUGCUGCUGCUGGAGGGCGUGGUUGCUGUGGCCGCGGCGGGGGUCGUAGCAGUCCCCGUCCACCUCCUCGAACGACUCCUUGUGCACGGCCGUGUGGUGCUGCACGGCGCCGCCGCAGCCGGCGUGGCGCGGGUUCCCGGCGAAUUUGGUGACGUGCUCGGAGUGACUGCGGUGGUAGUUCAUGUUCAUGUCGGGUUGCGGCUGGCCGUAGCCGCCGUAGCCGCAGGCACUCCUCCGCAUGGCUGCUGGCACGCUGGUGGCUAAGCGAUUGGUUUCCCUGCGCUACCUGUGCCUUGGCAGUUGGCUCUCGGCACUGCAUGGAUCGAUCGGCUUGGGGUUGUGUUUUAUAGGAGCGAUACGAUAUUGCUUUAGGCUACAUGCGUUUUCACUGUGGAAUGUGGAUUGCAGCAUUUGUUCUGGGCUGGUAGUGGUAGGGUAGUAGGACAGACACUGCUCUGACAGUCCGACCUGAUCAAUGGCUUUAUUCUUCUUCGAGUCCACUCAGGCGAGUCCUCAGGCCUGCACGAGCAUCUAGUUCGUUGUGGGCGGCAUGGCAUAAACAAUACCAAAAUGAUUAAAGCAAUGAUCCGGCUUGCCCCGUCAAUGGUGAUUAGUGAAGCAGCAACGAGAUCCUAUUCGCGUGCCCUAUUUGACGGCUUAUCUUUUGCCUUGCUAGCUGUAGUAGGCAAGUAGCAAAAAUAUGCAGCAGUUGCAUUUUAACCCCACAACGUAUCACGCGUUGGUCAUAUCACCUCCUCAAGUACUACAAAACCGGAUGUUUAACUCUCUAACCUGCACAAAACUGUUUAAAUGACCCCCUGAGGUAGCUUUGCAUGGUAGUUUUGCCACGUUGGCAUGCUGAGAUGGACGGAGAUGCUGGUGUGGAUCGACUGAUACGCGAGCUCUGUUUGCAAGUUGACAGGUCACGGUCCUCUAUCUUAGUCUUCUCCUCCCUCUCCCAUGGCCGCUCCAGCGCUCCACUCAACAUGCUCGUUGUCCUUGAGCAGCGGGAGCCUGCCGACGAGGUCAUCUGAGCAGCAAGUUCAGGCGUGGGCACAGCGGGUUAGCUGCAGCUUUGGUGCCAAAGGUCAGGGCACCCUUGCUGGGUUUGUGCAAGCCCACGCGCCACGAUGUUGCUCUGCUCUAGGCCGAGGUUCUCACACAACUGAUGCGGUAGCUGCUCCGCGAGCGCCUCCAGGACGUCGCCGUCGUCACGCUUGCUAAAGGGCCCGGCAUGGUUAUCGAAAAUCAUACCCGAAAAGAAAUCUGGCCGAGCCGAGCCCGUCUAGACUAUUGUUUCAUUUAUUUUUUCUAUUAAUUAAAGAAGAACGGGAAGGCUGAGCUGACCCAAAAAUGAUCCCGACAAUAUCUAUGUGAUAGUCUUGGGCUCAAAUUUUCGAUCCGAAAUAAAUCGGGCUUUUGUCGGCCCGGUUUGAAAAAUGCUCUAGGUCUAGUUACAUGUACCAGAAAUCACUAAUAAACUUUGUGAAGGUCUGAAGGGAUGUGAAGAGAGGUAAAAACUUUUCCACCUUUCAUCAUGAUUGCGCUGCAUGCUCUGCUGUGCACUGGAGCAGCCGGGGUCCGGUCCUUCACCUGAUCAUCUCCAACAGAUCGAUCCUCACUUCCUGCUGGUCAUGUGCACCUCAGCUUUUGCUGUAACGACAGCGUACCCUACGAUUCAUUUUGGGGCAAUCUUUGCUACGAUUUUAGGCCUUGUUUAGUUGGGGAAUUUGGGAGGUGCCAAAUUACUGUUACAGCACUGUAGCACACUGUAGCGUUUCGUUUGUAUUUGUGAAUUAUUGUCCAAAUAUUGACUAAUUAGGCUCAAAAGAUUCGUCUCGCAAAGUACAACAAAACUGUGCAAUUAGUUUUUAAUUUCAUCUACAUUUAGUACUCCAUGCAUGUACCGCAAGUUUGAUGUGAUGGGGAAUCUUCUUUUUGCAUAGUGUCAAAGUUGGGAGUUGGGAGUAACUAAACAUGGCCUUAACUUCUGAGGAGACAAGGGACAAGCAAUCAUACGAGCUGAGCUAAAUCAAACGAGCAGGCCUGAUAUACCAGCCGGUACAGCGCACAAAUUUUCAUAUCGGUGGAUGCAGAGCACGGAUGGAUCAACUGGGGGAGCACAAUUUAUUUACGUACGUACGAGUAGCCCGUUUUUUUGCCGGAUCAUUUUAGCUGCAGUGCAGUGUGUACCCCAUGCAUCAACGUUGGCAUCUACUGGAGGUGCGCCUGCUGCUGGAGGGCGUGGUUGUUGUGGCCGCGGCGGGGGUCGUAGCCGUCCCCGUCCACCUCCUUGAACGACUCCGUGUGCACAGCCGUGUGUUGCUGCACGGCGGCGGCGGCGCCGCCGCCGCCGCCGGCGUGGCAGGGGUUCCCGGCGACUUUGGUGACGCGCUCGGAGUGCGUGCCGUGGUCGUCCAUGUUGGGUUGAGGCUGGCCGCUGCCGUGGAAGGCACUCCUCCGCCGCAACCGCAUGGCCAUAGUGAUUGGUUUCCCCUGCGUUUACCCUGUGCCUUCGCACUUGGAUCGCUAUGGUUCGCGGCUUUGCGUGGAUCAACUUGGCUGCUUGGGGUUCUGUUUUAUAGGGGCGCUAUGAUUCUUAACUGCAUGCGUUUUCACUGUGGAUUGCAGCAUUUGUUCUGGCUGGUAGAGUGGUAGUGGUAGGGUAGGACAGUCGUUACAAUAUUUGCUCCGACCUGAUCCAUGGCUUUAUUCUUUCAAGUCCACUCAGGCGAGUCCUCAGGCCUGCGCAGCGCAUCUAGUUCGCUGUGGGCAUGGCAUGGCAUAUACAAUCCCAAAAUGAUUAAAAAGCAAUGAUCAAAGCCGCACAGAUCCUAUUCGCGUGCCAUAUUUGACGGUCUUUUUUUUUUUGGCCUUGCUAGCUGUAGUAUCGAAAUACACGCAGCACUUGCAUAACAAUGCAGAUCAAUGAUUUGAAUCAUAUGAAGCUUGCAUUUUUUGUGGCUUGUUAGUGCCAGUCAGUCACAAAACGUGUGCUACGAAUUAUCCGACCAUAAAGUACAACAGGGGAUCUCGCAAAAUGGAAUCCAAGAGAUCAAGAUAACAGUAGUACAGCUAGGAGAAAAGAAGGAAGUGGACUCAAGUUUCAAACCCUAAAAAACGCAGGACCCAAAGAGCGAGCAAAUUGAAAACAAUUCCCACUUAGAGUUACACCCCCGUACCCCUCACGGAGCCCCACCUGCCAGGGCAGGAGGGUGACGAAAAGGUGUGACGAAGGGUGAGAGGACAAAAAACUGGAUGAUAGAAAAUGAUUCUGCUAAAAGCCUCUUUUUUCUCCUUACCCACCCGCGCGUACCCUCCCACGCGCUAAUCACGUUCCUGAUUUUUUGGGUGAGGUCUCCUUCCUUUUUCACGCUCUGCCGUUCCGCAACUCCAUGAUUUUCUCCGUGGUUUCCUUCCUUUUACACUCUUGAUUGAUCGGUAGACUUCCUAUUGAGAGCCUUCCUUUUGAGAGCCUUUAAUUUAAUUUCGUUCCUAUUUUUUCUCCAUGGUCUUCUUCCUUUUCCAUGCUAUGCUGUCCCGCGACUUCAUGAUUUUCUCCACAGUUUCCAUCCUUUUACAUGCCUUUUACAUGCUCUUGAUUGAUUGGUAGCCUUUGUAUUGGGAGCCUUCCUUUUGAGAGCAUUUACUUUAAUUCCAUUCCUAAUUUUUCUCCAUGAUCUCCUUCCUUUUCCAUGCUUUGCCGUCCCGCGACUCCAAGAUUUUCUCCGUGGUUUCGUUCCUUUUUACACGCUCUUGAUUGGUAGACAUCCUAUUGAGAGCCUUUAAUUUAUAGGUAUGGCGAUGGCAAGUUCUCUCCUACGUCCAAGUCUCCUUCUUGCUUCACGUCCUCCUUCCACCGAGGGGCUAUUACUGGACCUCCACACCCUAACGUAGGAACGCAAUCGAGAUCAAAGGUCUACUAGUCCUUCCACUGAGGACUAUUGCCGGACUUCCACAUCCUCGUGGUGGAACUACAUGCUGGAACUCAAAUGGCUGCCGGCACCAUUUGAUCAAUUUUGCAACCGCCCGGCGAAGGAAGGCCACUGUUGUAAGAUCACCACACCAAUUAGGUAAGGCCCUAAACCUUCAUCUUCUUCCUACUAUAUAAGGUACUUAUUCAUGUUUGAUCAUGUAAUUUCACAAUGUGAUGAUUCCAUAUGUUCUCCACCCUAGACCGCAACGAAACAUUGUCAGAUUGAUAAUCCAUUAUGUUUGUGUACAACUCCAAAAUCUCUAGAUAUCUGAGAGUGAUAAUCCAUGAUGUUUUGAGUUCAUGACAUUGUCUACAUUAUACAUUGAGUUCAUGACAAUGCCCUAUAUCUUGUGUUUAUGCGGCUGACUUUUAGCCAUUACGUAUUAUUCCAUUAUCAUUGUAUCAUGUUACCUGUGUUGCUCUACAAAGAAUGAUAAAUUCUUUUUUUUUUACUCACCAACAGUACAUAAUCCAUCAAAUCUUUCAUUACAUGAUAUCUGAUCAAGAUGGGUCAUCGAGCCGUGCUUGGAGAUGUGAUGAACACACACGUAAGCGGAGCAUCGAUCCAUGGUGUUAAGAGACCUAGAGAAGGUAUCUAAUUUUUGGUUGAAUCAUAAUGUUCUGGUUUCAUAUUUGGUUGAAUCCCAAUGUUCUGGUUGCACAUAACAUAUUAAGGAGACUUAUCCAUGUAACCUUUUGAGCGCAGGUGAAAAUGUUGAUGAUGCAGAAUGACAAAAAGCAAGGGAAUGAUAUGCAAAUAUGCCAUUGGAGAAGAAGGCUGAGUGGAAUGCAAAGAGAAGGGAAGAUCAUCAGCGUAAAAAGGUGGAGAGACAAUCAAGCAAUGGCAUGCUGGAACCUCUCAGACAAUUAGGCAGUGUCAUGCAUGAACUUCUGGGAGAACCAUCAUGUGAUGAACCACCUCUCAAACAAUUAGGCAAUAUCUUAUACAUUCAUUAAAAAUUGUGAGUCAGUAUAGUAGGAUCCUUAAAUUAUGAUAUAGUUUUUUUUUACUUUCACAGGGAUAUCUCAUGAUAUGGAUCGGGUGAUGUUGGUGGGGAUUGGCUUAGUAGGAACCCCAGCUAUACAAGAUCACUGAGAACUUAUCAUAUGCUACCAAUCUUCGUAUCAGGUCUGAUAGUAGUACCUUGACAUGAUGUUCAAUAGGUUUUUUAAUUGAUAUCUUUAAGCAUUUACAAUUUACAUCCCAGAUCUUGAUGAGAUGCCUCUGUAUGUUCUAGGAUUGGAUGGAGUCAAGGAAACGGAUGACGAGGGAAGGCAAAUAUUGAAUUGUCACAGAGAAGUAAGCAAACAUCUGACUUCGUGUUUACUGGUAUGGCUUAUAUGAAACCCAUGUAGCCCUAGCAUAUAAUCAUACAUGCAGGAUAUCGCCUCUAACAAUAGGCAUGUAUAUUUAUAUAUUUAAAGAUGUACCAAUGAUCAGCAUUGUCCCUAAUGAUGUGUCUCUACAAGAUCUGAGAGUGGAGGAAAGCAUGGAAAAGGAGGGGCAUACAUUUGCCUCAAUGUCAGCUGAUAAGAAAAGCGUGAGGAAUGCCAAAAGAAGAGCAAAUUACCAUCACUCAAAGUGCCAGGAAGAGGCAAUCUUCCUUGAUGUAGAAAAACCUAAUCUCACCUUCACUGGUAUGCAUGUUAAUUUUUGCCUACAAAAUUUGAUGGAGUUCCAGCGACUUGCAAUUAUUCUAAUUUUACGCUACAAGCAGGAGAAAUUGGAUAUAGACAAUAUGUGGUAACGGCAAACAUUGCAACUCCAGAUGCAUGUUUGAAAUUGUACUGCCUAUGUUUAAAAUUUUAUUUAAGCACAUGGAUGCGUAUAUAAGUUUUUUUAAUAAGGUGACCAACAUAUUGGAGUAGAGGUGUCUCCGGAGGAACUGAAGAGGUUAAGAGAAAGGAAAAGAUAUGUUGAACUAUCUGACUUUGAAAGACAACAAAAAAUAUUAAAAAAUAACAAUGGACGACACAAUAAAAUUUCUAAACAAGGUACUAUAUUUGAGCUAUUUUCUCAAAUUCCAUUAAUUGUUUUAUACUAUAUAUAAUUAUGUUGUUCCAUUUUUGGGCGAAUGUUUCAGAUAUAGGGUUACAAACCCCUAUUGGAACAUUGCAGUCUGGGGUAACCCAGUUAGGGUCUGGUCCAAGAACAAGGGGUUCUAUUAAUAAUGAAAAUGCCGAACCUAAUCAAUCUGGUUUAUAAGAACCAAACAAUCCAUUGCACGGAAUAGAAGGUAACUUUAAAUCACUUGGUCUUGUCUAUGAUUUUCAUUGUACGUUGACAAUAUCCCAAUUAAUAUAUUGUAUUCUAUUCUACAAUGAAACAGAGAACAAUUUAGAUGAGAUGGAUCCUGACCAAGAAGGAGAUGAUAAGUUAGAUGAUGGUGAAGCGAGGGUAUUUUACCAACGAGGUAUGUUAUAUAUUAUUGAAAUGAAUGUAACUUUCCUCUCGCAACAAGAUGGUUUAUAAUUAAUUAUUGGUUUGUGGCAGAUAUCCAUUACAAGUAUUAUAGAGAUCCGGAUAUGGCUUCUAAGGGUCCUGAACCAUUUGAUGGAGUGUACAUGAACCUUCCUAAGAAGCAUCAUGUGUUGAAGAAGGCCAAAAACUGUGAGUUCUGCAAUGCGAAGAAGUUCCUUGGUGAAAGACCUGCUUUAUGUUGCAGGAAUGGGAAGGUCCACAUAUAUGUCCCAGAAGUUUUGUCUGAGCUUCACCGGUUAUUUACGAGUCAAACGGAUAAGGAUGCAAGGUAUUUCAGAAAGCACAUAUGGUACUUCAACUCACAUUUCUCUUUCACCAGCUUUAGGUUUUCCAUUGACCGUCAUCUCGCGUAUGCAAGAGGUAAUGGUGUGUAUACCUUUAAGGCACAUGGCCAGAUUUACCAUAAGCUCGAUCCACUUGUGCCGGGUGGGAAAGGGCCACGCCAUAUGCAGCUCUACAUUUAUGACACGGAUGAUAGUAUUGGUUAUCGUGUUAAGACAUCCCCUAAUCUUGAUGAGAACCGGAUCCGCUUGAUCCGUGGUAUUUUACGGGACAAUCCGUACAUCCAAGUGUUCACAAGCCUAGGUACUCUUGCAGAUAUUCAAGAGUACAUGAUUGAGUUGAAUACCAAGAUUUCUAUUGAUUAGAGGAGAUACAAUGCACCCAAAAUGGAGCAGAUUGCGGCUAUCUAGGUUGAUGGCAAUAACUCUCAGCAUAGGUUCUCCCGGAGCAUUGGAUAUAUGGAAAAUGAGAUGAUCCGUACUAUAUUAUGGCGUACCAUGGCUGUUAUGACCCAUUGGCAUAUCCUUUGUUUUUCCCUUGUGGCGAGACUGACUGGGAGGACAAGACGAUAGUGUUUCGAGAUCCACCACCAUCAAAGCCAAAGUGGAAGUAUACUAAGCGUAACAGGAAAAGGUAUGCGUAUUCCACCAUUCUUUCGUACUUCAUCCAUAGAUUCAUUGCACUCACUAUAUGAAAUCUGAUGAUUUAUGCUGCAACAUAGAUGGAACUGAAGCCGAUGUGGGUGAUCGUACAAACAAUGACCAUUGUGUCGUGCAAGGACGUAAAAAAAGAGUCGCUCAUGGUAUGUACUAUUUUUCUUGUGCUUUCAUACACACUUCACUUUGCUGUAUUUGUAAAGUAUUUAUUUACUUUUGCCUCAUAGAUCCGCAUAUUGAUGAAGCAGAUGACACAGCAUAUGGUGACUACAUCAAUGAGGAAGGUGUGUAUGCAGAUAUGCCAUAUUAUAUCAUUCACAAAUUUAAGAUUGAAAAGUAAGAGCGUCGGAGGAGAGGAGGUGGAGCGGUGGCGGCGGUGGAAGAGAGGAGGGGGUAGCGGCGCUAGCACCGGAGGAGAGGAGUGGCGAAGCGAUACCGGCGGUAGAGAGGAGGAGAGGUUCGAGAGAGGCAACAGGCAGGUGGCGGCGGGAGAGAGAGGAGGGGUAGUGGUGGUUAGGGUUUAGAUUUAGUUUUAUGUGGGGUGGAGGGUAACGGGCCAAUACAGGCCGGCACCCUAAAAUCGUGCCGGGCCGGGCCGCCCGUCGUGCCGAGGUGGCGGCCCACGCCCGGCAUGAGCCAUUAGGCUGAGCCAGCCCGAGCUCAAAGAGUUACGGGCCGGGCCAGGCUUAGGACGGGCCAAAAAACCGAGUUUUGUGUUGGGCUGUCAGGCUGCUGGCUGCAUGGACUAUCUAUACCCUAAAUGAAACUUAAUUAAACCAUGGAUGUAAUAAUUAAUAAGUAGAAGGAAAAAAAUCAAACUCAAUUAUGUAUUAAAUUCAAUGAGAUUCAUCAAUUAAAACUAUGGAUGUAAUAAUUAAUAAGUAGAAAAAAUAUAAUCAAACUCAAUUCUAUAUUACAUUAAAAUGAUAAACAUAGCAUUGUAAUGGUUAUAAUAUGACCAUAGAAUUUUAUUUAAAAAAAUAAUCCAUCUUUAGUUAUUUUCUCUCUCUUCUAGGUCUAGAUCUUGAUCUAGAUGACAACCUAAUGAAGCUAGAAAUGAUGUAUAGAAGUUGAAAAUGAAGGUUGGAAUGGCACAUACUUACCUUUUAUAGCCACCUCCUCCAAAGAAAACAAGAGCUCCAAAUGGAAGGUUGGCUGGUGAAGAAGCUGUUCGCGACUUUAUCUGGGCGGCAUCUGUGCUAGCGGGCCACCUAACGCACCCGCCAGCACAUAUGCAUCCCAUGUGUGCUGGCGGACGCUUAGCUCGCCCGUCAGCACAGAGCUGGCUCUGUGCUGGCAGGCACUAGCCCGGUGGCCCCGAUCAUCUUUGUGCUGGUGGGUGCCAAUUUCACCCGUCAGUAUGCUAAUUUCGACGUGCCAACACAAAUCAUUUUCGGGGUAGUGUUUCUCUUGGCCCUGAUCUUGUGUGGUUGUGUUGGUACUUGGUACUCGGUAUGGCCUGGCACUGGCACCGCAUUGGGUCGGCUUUUAUAGGAGCUCAACACGCGUAGUCAUGGGCUCGCUCAUGGCAUUGAUGGAAGAAGAAUUUGCGCAGUAGGGUAGUGCAGGGGCUGCAGGCUGCUCAGCUGAUGGGCUCGGACCGUCGGACGUGGUCAGUUGCUUUAGUUUUUGAGUGAUCGAGUCCACUAAUGUCUCGAGCAUCAUCGAGAACAAUUCUGGUGCUCCAACCCCUUGAGGUAGUACUCCCGAGUGACAAAUAAAAAAAGAUCAUAUCCUUCGCAAAAGAAAAGGAAAAAAAGCUGAGAGUGGAAAAUCAACCAAUAAAAGAGGCGAUUAGAAAUUUGCAGACCGGCAGUAGUGAAUUGUUAAUGCGCCUUGCGUUGUGAUUAAUUAAAUACACGAAAGGCUGCUUGUACAAUCAGGAAAAAUUGCCCUCCUGGCACUCACUGGCAAAACCACGGAUCGGAGCUGCUUCCCUGGGGCAAAACGAUUUCCUCGCAUGCAUGCUGGAGAGCAAGACCGGAUCGUUCACCCUCUAGCCGUGAUAUCUUGCUCCAUGAGGGAUCUCUGCUAGCUCUACAAGCUUGGGCGCGCGCCAUGGCUGCCAUGAUGCCCAGCAGCCGGUCCGGGUCCGCCCCUUCACCUGCGACGACGACAGAUCACAGAACGGCGAGCCGAGGCGGGGAGAGAGAGCGAGAGCGUCACCAGAUGCAACGUGGCGCAGGAAGCGAGGCAUGCAUCCAGGAGGAAGAAGAAGGAGAUCGGGAUGGUCAGACUCAGACAGGCGGCGGCGGCGCUCCGGCGAGCCGUGGCGUGAAGCAGAGGCGGCGUACCAUGCGACCUAAGGAGCGGUCGUUGUUUCAGAAAAUACCGUCCACCCCUUGGGAGCCUGUGAACCGUCCGGUCGAGCCUGUGUGGCCCAGAAUAGACCCACGGCGGGAGGCGCCUGCCUCGUCAGGCUCGGAUGACGGGCGCGUACAUGGCGGCCCGCCGAGACUGAAGAAGCAGAGGAUGUCUGGCUCGCUUGCCCGGGCUUCGAGCACCAGUGGCGGCGGCGCGAUUCUACACGUGUUCGUGUAAAUGCCUCACUACCGCAACGAUUUCGGUGGGGGAUGCAAACUCGCGCAGGUCCCGCCUCCCGCCCCGAUUACGCUCUCGGAACAAAAACAAAAGGAAAACAGUAGCAGCACAGAGCGUGCCUCGAAACCUUUUAUUCAUGUCACGGUCUUAUUCUUGUAUGUAUACAUAAAGUGCAUGCAGUGUGCGUACACACACUCAUGUGACCGUGCACACCGUACACAUAGCUAGCUAGCUGUCAGGACGCAGGAAGCAGCUGGCAGCGCUGCGUUCCUGACGAUGACCGUGAAGUUCACCUCGAUCGUCCGAUCCGCGUUCAGGCGUAGUACUCGCCGGUGCACGAGUCGUAGCGCUUGCUCUCGCACGCGUCGUAGUGGCGCCCGCCGUGGCCGUAGCCGCCGUGCCCGUGCCCGUGCAGGUGGUGCUGCUCGCGGUGCUCGCCGAGGUGGCCGUGGCAGGACCCCUCGUGCCCGGCGUAGCCACCGACGUGGUGGUGGUGGUGGCUGCCGCUGCGGCCGAGGUGGCCGCCGCCGUACUGACCGUGGCCGUGGCCGUAGUGGCCCCUGCCGGCGCGCGCCACCUCGUCGAUCUCCUCGUACUCCUUGCGGACGGCGUAGCGCUCGCCGCCCUCGCCGUAGCGGUACCCGGGCUCGGCGUACGGCCUCCUCACGUCCUCCGCGCAGUAGCCGGACUCCGAGUAGUACGCCAUGGCGGCGGUGAUGCCCUGGUGUCAGCUAGCUGAUCAGUUCGUUGCAGUGAACGGACUUGUGUGCGCGGUGAUCUGCAAUGCUGAGACCUGAUCGAUCGAUGCAGGAUAUAUACAUGGACUGGCCCUGCUUUUAUAGGGUGCAAGCAAAGCAACUCAUCCUCAUGCAUGAUUCAGAUGGAAGAAAUGCUCUGGUAAGGACGUGAGGAUGGAUGCAUGAGUGGAGCAGGGAACUUGUUCUGAAAGAUACGUGCGCGCUCACUGCUUUCUGCCGAGCCGUGCCACCUGCACGUUGGGAUCGAAGGUGGAAGAAAACUCGAGACGCGUUUUUACACAGACCGAUCGAUGCCCGGGAAUUUCUUUGAUUGAGAUAAAAAGCUUGAAGCAAGCUACGGGUUGAAGGUUGAGGCAAAGUAGAGUGUAAAUGGAAUAACAAAAGAGCGGCAGAUAUCAAGAUAUGUCCAAUAACAGUUUUGUUCAUGACAAGUAGAAACGAAAAGGAAGGGGACAUGAACUGAAUGAUGGAUCUGGCGUCAGCUGGUAAACUACUGAAAUACAUAGUUUUGGUGUGCAAGAAUUUUUUUUUUUGGCAUGAAGCAUCUCACUGUUACUUUAAUCAAUAUAUUUCAGGUUCAAGUGAUUUUGCUGCAGCUUUUGUCCAUUGGUCAUUUAAUUCUUUUCUUUGUACUGCAAGGCUGUUUAUUUGGAUUUUGGUUAUCCUGAAUUCCUGAUCCGCCAUCCAUCUAAUAACCUAUAAUCUGUUUGUUUUUUUUUUAAAAAAGAUAACCUUAUGUAUCGUAUAACGCUCACAAUGAUAUGCACCCCACCAGUGUAUUCAAGAAGAAAAAAGAGAGUCCAAGAGAGUCAUUUGCCCAUUUCCUGCAUAUGGUCUCAAACGAUGGAAUAUUUUAUGCAAAUAAUAUUUUUAAAACGCACAUCACCUAUAAAUGAGCAGUUUUAAGAAUUAACCAAAAUAAUACUGGCCUACACAAUGAUAUGCACCCCACCAGUGUAUUCAUUAUUCAAGAAGAAAGAGAGUCCAAGAGAGACAUUUGCCCAUUUCCACCAUCAAGUGAAAACGCACAUCAUCUAAACGACUCAAGUUACACAAUCAAACAAAAGAAUACUGGCCUCAACACACGAGUGAAGGUUUUACUGAUUUAACACCAUUUAUGUUCAGUUAGGCGACCACUGUCACUUUUUUAUGCAUCUGCAGAAAAACAUGUUCUUCUUUUCCCCUUUUGAGGAACAGCAAUAAACAUGUUAAUACGAGUUACACUAGAUAUCCAGAUCGACGUGUCAUUUGAGUUUUGUGUAUCCAUGAUCCACGAUCCAUGCUUCAAGCUCUAGUUACUAUAUACUAUGGUCCUCUAAUAUUCAGAUCAUGAGCUAUAGUGCAAAACCAUUUUGCUGCGUAGAGAGUUAGAUCUUCCCAUUCAGCUAAAGCAGGCAUUUUUGCAGGUUUCUGGAUGUCACCUGCUCCAGAAUUUAGGUUGAAGCAGAGCAACAUUGGCCCUCGAUUCGGUUUAUUUUUUGUUGACAAUCCAUGAAUUGUGGUGUUAUCACCACCAUGGUGCUCCUUUGGCGCGGCGAUACUGGACUGGAACUGGAAGCAUUUCCGUGCAAGGAUGCGCAACCGUACAGUUGCAUGCCUGGUGAAUGCGCCACGUGUACGGUACACGUUAUAAUCUUUGAGUACAACAAUCUACCUGGAUGUGGUCCGAUUCACAUCACAAGCUUUUAUUCAUUUAGAUCACAAGCUUAUUAUUUUCGUAGUUCGUACACAGGCUGCGUGCAUGCACACACACCACCGUCAAAGUACGUACACACAUACAUACCCGGCCGGCCGGAUACGGUAUACGCAAACUUAUACUAGCAUCGUACAUAUGGGGGAGCACACACGCGCAUACGUGACACGUGGCUCAGAUCCAGCAGAUACGUGUUCGUUGAUGGAGCUCGCGUGAAGCCGGUUAGUCGUCGGCCCUGACGGCGAAGUUCUCCUUGCGCUCGUGGAACUCGCCGGUGCGGGUGUUGAUGUCCUCCUCGAACUUGCUCUCGCGCGCCUCGAAGUGGCCGUGGUGGCGGCCGGUGCGCGAGACCUUGUCGACCUCCUCGAACUUCUCCUUGACGACGUGCUGCUGGACGCCGCCGUGGCGGCCGAAGCCUGCCGGGCUCGCCACCGACCUCACCUCCUCCGAGCUGUAGUCCACCUCCUGGUAGUGAGCCAUUGGCGAUGCUUGGGGUUUGGGUGUUGGGUGUAGUGCCUGUGACUUGAAAGGGCUUGUGAAUUGUAUGGCAUGACUUGUGUGCUGGAUGCUAGGGUUGGGGCCGGGGUGCGCUUUUAUAACGCCUGGAAUGAAGCGCAUGAGUGGAGGGAGGAAUAAUCGGUGCGAAAGAAACCUGUGUGCAGCUGCUUUAUUGAUUAUUGUGUGUUUUUUCUUCGCUUUUUACCGUUCAUCUAGAGGAAGUGUUUGGACUGUACUGGCCAAGUUGAUGUUAGGAUGUCUAGGGCAUUUUUAAGUGCAAUUUACAUGUUCAUAUAAAGUUCAAUUGUAUUCUAAUUAACAUCAUAUAUGCAGUUCCAUCGUGUUGGGAUAUUUGUGUACUGUGUUUUCAAAAAAGAACAAAUAUUUGUAAGGAGUCAUCGAAGAGCUAUAGUCACCCUGCGGGCUGGAGCUAGUGUGCAAAAAGAAAAACAAGACAUGUAUUAUGAAAAAUAAGAAGAAGAAAUGACAGACAUAGGUACGCAGUGCAUAUAAUCAUUAAAAUCAGCUGCUUGUUAUAAAACGUGAGUUCAAUUCCAUUAAAAAAGGAAAAACGGAUAUGCAAUUAGCGAGCAAAAAAGUUCGGCUCAUCUCAAAUCCUCUUCUUCUUAUUAAGUCACCUUGGACAGAAGAAGUCACCGGCCGCGUUAGGUAAGAAUAUACUUAUCAGUUGUCAAGUCGGAAUAUAUACUUGCGUCUCGGCCUGCACCUCGUUUCACUUCACCAUGGAUGGAGACCGCAAGACGCCAUAGCCGCACCGGACAGCGCGUUGCUUGUAUGUGAAAAAGAAUCACAAUUCCUUCAUCCAUGAUAAGAUGUAUGUCCAUAACAAGGAGGGAAAGGGGAGGGGCGUAUAAGGUGUAUGGAUAUGUUUACUACAGUUUGUAAAAUGUGUAUGGAAAACUAAGUGAUUAUAUUGUUUACACUUGUUACUCUAUCCAAAUUCCUUGGUUUAUAUAAGCGGUAACAUUCACCAGAAACGUUAAACUAAAAUUUUUCAAUCUUACUAUUGAUAAUUGAAGAUUCCUUUUUGGAAACUUCACGUUAUUCCUCACGUGAAGCGUUAGAAAAAAAAAUUAGAUAAAAUUCAGAAAUAUCGACCAUCAAUUAGGUAGAGCCUAAUCAUCAUAGCCAUUAGACCUAUUAUGCUUUCUAAAAAAUUACCCACCUCUACCAUUAUGAAAUAAUCUAAAGUACAUAUGUAUUGUGAGCAACUCAAAGCCCCCAAAGGUGAAAUUGGGUUCUCUCUAUUUUUUUACAGGUCCAGCAAUAGCCCCAUAGAUAGAGGGCUCCCUAAAUACCCCCAGGAAUGGAGGGUGGAGGGGAGAAUUUGGAGAUCUUCCCAAAAUAGAGAGCCUAGUAGAUGGUCUGCUGAAGUGUAUUUUUUUACUUGACCCUCUAAACUUGGAUUAGGGGACCAUUUAGAGGCACGUAGAGUUGCUCUUAGAAUAUUUACAAAUAAGGGACAACGCAAAGUUAUUAGCUACAGAUCCUAAUGUUUUUUUUUAAAAAAUCUAAUACUUAAGUCUUUCAAACUAUUAGCACCAGCGGGAGUACAAGUUGAUGUUUCAUAUAAUUUUAAUAAAAAUUGUAUGGCGGACCAAGCGUGUACUAGACUACUAGUAAAUGUGUGUUGACAUGAAAGCACAAGCAAAGAUCAAUCAACUGGCCAACGGCAAGAUCAGACUGUAAUCACCUGCUACUAGCAUGGGCAGAGGCCGCAGUGCACAUGCACAUCUCAUCGAUAGGCCUGGAUAAUUGAAGAGUUGAAGACGGCCACACACGAGCCAUGGAAAAACUGAAUGCGGCAGGAACGAAGCUGAGCCGGCGUCCGUCCGCGGGCAGGAUGCCGAUGAUGUCGAGCUCACGGCCGUACGGCCUGUGCAGCAGAGGAGCUCGGUCGGCGUUGCUGUGGGAGCCCAGUAGCUCACGGUGGAGGUCGUCAUCGACGGCGCCGGCGAGCCACGCCGGCCUGUGCAGCAGCACGGUUUACGGGUCCUAGAACGCGCGAUUAGCUGGUUUGAGCUCGCCAUCGAGUCCAUGGCGGCGUGGUUAUGGUCCACGAUCCAGGCCGGGUGGCCAGCGGCGAGAGGCGCCUGACCCCGGAAGAUGUGACGAACCCUUACCGGCGCCUUGAUUGCCUAAUCCGCAAUGUUACUAAGGAGUUGCAAAGUUGGUCAGCUAAGAAGAUUGGCUCCAUUCGGCUUCAGCUUCUCGUCGCCAAGGAGGUUAUCCUGCAGCUGGACCGGGCACAAGAGCUGCGUUUGCUGUCAGAAGAGGAACGCGAGCUGCGGAGACAGCUAAAGGUACUAACUCUGGGCCUCGCUUCACUGGAACGAACAAUCGCCAGACAGCGGUCGCGCGUCCUCUGCCUGAGCGAAGGGGACGCGAACACGAAGUUCUUCCACCUGCAUGCAAAUGGUCGGCGACGAAUGAACCACAUCGCUAAACUACAGACAGGGAAUGGCAUGGUGUACACAGCAGAGGAGAUGGCUGACGAGCUCCACACCUACUUCGAUGGAGUUCUUAGACAGGAGAGGGAUAGGCAGACCACGCUGAACCUGGAGGCAUUGGGGAUCGUCCCGAGAGAACUCCCUGGCCUGGAGGAGCCAUUUACUGAGGAUGAAGUGUGGCAAACAAUCCGGGCCAUGCCGCCGGACAAGUCGCCGGGGCCAGACGGUAUGACGGCGGCGUUCUAUCAAUCAGCCUGGUCUAUUAUCAAAGAUGAUGUGCUGAGAGCGGUGAAUGCUUUCUUUGUGGUGGAUCGACGAGGUUUCCGGUGCAUCAACCGGGCGCUCCUCACGCUGAUUCCUAAAAACCCAGAUGCUCAAGCACCGAAGGACUAUCGCACUAUAAGCCUAAUUCACAGUUUCCCAAAACUGCUCGCCAAGCUGCUUGCUAAUCGCAUCAGCCCCUACAUGAACGAGCUUGUUCUCUGCAAUCAGAGCGCCUUCAUCAAGGGGCGGUCCAUUCUGGACAACUACAAGUAUGUUCAGAGAUCAGCGGCCAUCCUCCGGAAGCGGAAAGUGCCCAAGUUGUUGCUAAAACUUGAUAUUUCGAAGGCCUUUGACACGGUGGCGUGGCAGUUCGUGCUGGAGGUCCUGCAGGCAUGGGGUUUUGGAUCGAGAUGGAGCGAUUGGAUUUCUCUAUUGCUGUCCACGGCAACUACACGUGUGCUGCUCAACGGCCAGGCAGAGCUGCCGAUUGAGCACCGUCGCGGUCUCAGGAAGGAGAUCCAAUCUCCCCAAUGUUGUUUGUGCUGGCAAUGGAUGCUCUCAACCGGCUCUUUAACAAGGCGGAUACUGAUGGAGUGCUACAGCCGCUUGGGGUGCCAUGCAUGAAGCACCGCUGCAGCAUGGACGCGGACGAUGUGAUCCUAUUGGCAGCACCAACUGCGGGGGAAGCAAGGGCUAUAAGCCGCAUUCUCAAUCUCUUUGGAGAUGCAUCAGGGUUGCAAACGAACUUAGAAAAGUGUUCAAUCACACCAAUCUACGGCUGUGAAGAAGUGCUGGAGAGCUUACAGUCAGUGAUGCCAUGUGCCAUCAAGGAGUUCCCCAUCACGUACUUGGGAGCGCCACUGUCUGUCAGAGCAUUGCCAAAAUCUCAGUUUAUGCCGAUUGUUGAGAAGGUUGCAGCAAAAUUACCAGCUUGGCAGGGACCCUUAAUGAAUAAGAGUGGACGCCUCACCCAUGUGAAGUCCACCCUCUCUACAAUGCCCAUUUACUUGAGCAUGUCUGACAAGAUGCCAAGAUGGGCUCUCAAGGAGUUGGACAGUAUCAGGCGAAACUUUCUGUGGAAUGGCACUGACAGGGCAGUAAGAGGGAAGAACGCGGUGGCCUGGCCAACUGUCUGCCGGCCUACAUGCUACGGAGGGCUCGGGGUGAUCGACUUCAAGCUAGCUGGCUUUGCCCUACGGACGCGUUGGCUCUGGCUACAGAAAACGGACGACGAGCGUUCGUGGGCUGCACUACAAAUCAAGGUGCAGCCGGAGGUUCGCGCAUUCUUCAGCGCCUCUGUAACGGUGACUGUACGCAAUGGAGAGAGAACAUUAUUCUGGUUAGACAACUGGAUUGAUGGGCAAUCCGUCUCCCACCUGGCGCCUAACCUCCUUCAGACGGUGCCUGCACGAGUGAGGAACUGCAGAACGGUGGCGCGAUCGUUGCCGGAGCGGAGAUGGACGCAAGACAUUCGAGGACGUCUGUCAGUACAGGUACUGGUGGAAUACAUAAACCUUUGGGAGCGCAUCUCCGACUGGCAGCUCAUGGAAGGGCGGGACGUUUGCCGCUGGCGAUGGACCGUCGAUGGCAGCUACACGGCAGCUUCUGCAUAUCUCAAAAUGCACGAGGGAAGCAUCAAACUACGAGGUGCGUCGAGAAUUUGGAAGAAUUGGGCGCCGCCGAGGGUCAAGUUCUUUUCCUGGCUAGCAACGAAGAAGCGCAUAUGGACAGCUGACCGCCGCCGCCGGCAUGGGCUGGAUGCUCAUGACAAAUGUUGGCUCUGCGAUCAGGAACUGCAGACCACAUCUUGGUCAGCUGUGCCUACGCCAAGCAAAUUUGGUGGAAAGUCACGACGACGAUGCAUUGCAGCUGCAGUUUUUCCGCAGGGGCACAUUCCAUGCAGAGCUGGUGAGCAAAUCUAAGGAAACAGCAACCAAGAGCGAAGAGGAAGGGCUUCGACACCCUAUUCAUGCUUAUAAUUUGGAGUAUUUGGAAAGAGCGCAAUGCAAGGCUCUUCAACCAAAUAUCAUCCUCCACUGGCCAUGAGCUCACUGAGCGCAUUCUACAGGAGGCUGAGAUAUGGAUACUUGCGGGUGCUUGGCGAUUAGGUAGUAUCCGGCAUGAGUAGUACCAGUUAGAGGAGGCCUCUGGCCAUUAGGUUGUAGUCUGCAUACGGCGUAUGCAAGGUUUUGGCGUGUGCUCCGUCUCCGCCGAUUCCUGUAAAAAGUUUUUAAAUUCUCUUCUUAAUACAAUGAUGUCGCUUGGAGUAAAAAAAAAAGAGCGCCUGACCCGGCCACCCCUGGGUUUCUUGCAACUGUCAGAUCGGACAUGUGCGGCCACGGUCGCCUUGACCUCGCAAAUAUUCAUGUGGUGUCUUCGCUCGACCACCGUUGUCCUCGACGACGGGCUGCAUGCGCUCCGAGCCUCCGAUGAACCGCGCGCUGCCUGACGAGCCAGAGUCCAGUGGCCGCGAGAAUCACUUCUGAUGGUUACGAGAGCAUCGUAGGCAGGUGUGGUGCUUAUCUCGCGAGAUAACAGAAGCGGCACGGUGCGGCGGUGCCAUUGCCGGCCGGCGCGGUCCUAGGCGUUCUGACUUCUGCGGCGUGUUUGCCUGCGGCGACGGCGAGGGCCAUCGCGAUUACGAGUAUGAUGCUGCUACUGCUAGAGAGUGUUGGGCGCGCGGCACCGUGGCUGACUUCGGCCGCGACGUUGGCUCGGACGCCACGGCUGCUGUGCUGCCUCAGCUAGUCAGCGUGCGCUCGCCGGCGCCGGCGCCAUCGACGGCACCAAAGGCAAUCGAUGCUGACGCCCGCCAGCAGCACACCGGCAAUUGCAAGUCUGUCAACCGUCGCAGGGGAAUAUUUGCGCCGCCGGCCGCUGCCUCCUUGGGCGCUGCGCCGCGCAUCGGAGCGGCGGAGCCCAGCGCGUCGUCGAGGACUGCAGUCAAGCGAGGAAGGCGGAAAAGUCUAGCUCCAUUGACUUGAUCGCUGCCGCCCACGUGAGAUCCAACGGUCUAAAUAGGCCCAGAGUGGACGGUAAAUGAAAUACCGUCCACCCCCGUGUCUCUCUUCCACCGCGCGUCGAGCUCCGAUGACGAUCCGCGCGCCGCCCAACUUGGCAGAGUCCGGUAGCCGCAAGAAUCUUCGCCGACUAUGGUUGUGAGGACACGAGGGAGAUACUUAUCUCACCGUACCAGAGAAGUGGAACGAUACGGUGGUGCCGUGGCUGGCGCAGCCCAGGCGUUGUGACUUCUGCGGCGUGGCUGGCUUCGACCGCCCGCGAUCAGGGAGGGACUCAAUGACGCGGUGGCAUCCAUGGGUAGAGCACCGCCGACGAGCGCUCGCGAGAACCCCGUGGACGGCGCCAAUGUCGAUUCGGAUGCCUCGGCAAGGUCACUGGCGCCGAUGCAUGGACGGCUACAGCCUACAGCCAUCAUCACAAUGCAAGGACGGCAAGGAGGCUGCCAGUUCUGGGGUUUGGGGGCAAACGUUUUUUGCCCCCAAACGAAUCGAAUGUUCACUUUGGAGUUGGGUCGGCGCAGCAAUAUACAUGCACGUAGUACACGGAGAAGCUUUAUUCAGGUCACGAGCUUAUUUUCGUAGUACGUACAGAGGCUGCGUGCAAGCACGCCAGCAAAGUACGUGGAUAAGGUAGACCUCGCACACACAAACUUACAAUUUCAUACAUACGGAGGACAUGCACAUACACGUACGCGAUAC
rnacentral:lncRNA from 1 species